rnacentral:rRNA from 1 species
GACGAACGCUGGCGGCGUGCUUAACACAUGCGAGUCGAACGGAAAGGCCCUGCUUUUGUUGGGUUCUCGAGUGGCGAACGGGUGAGUAACACGUGAGUAACCUGCCCUUGACUUUGGGAUAACUUCAGGGAACUGGGGCUAAUACCGCAUAUGAGCUCCUGCUGCAUGGUGUGGGUUGGAAAGUUUCGGCGGUUGGGGAUGGACUCGCUGCUUAUCAGCUUGUUGGUGGGGUAGUGGCUUACCAAGGCUUUGACGGGUAGCCGGCCUGAGAGGGUGACCGGCGACAUUGGGACUGCGAGACGGACCAGACGCGUACGGGAGGCAGCAGUGGGAAAUAUUGCGCAAUGGGCGGAAGCCUGAUGCGACAACGCCGCGAGCGGGAUGACGGCCUUUGGGUUGUAAACCGCUUUGGCCGGUGACGAAGCGAGCGUGACGGUAAUGGGUAAAGAAGCAACGGCUAACUACGUG